GGGGGACUAUCAUCAUCAUCAUCAUCAUCGCAGAAGCAGCCUACCUACCAUGGCCUGAUGAUGAUGUUGACCAAGACUCCAGGCCCAAGACAUUGUUACAUGUUUUUCUUGACUUUAACUUUUUUUGUGAGUUCAGUUGAUGAUAACUGUAGAAGACCUUGACAACAUACAGCAUAUUCUUUAUUAGAGUGCACCAUCAUCUCUCUCUCCACCUGGGCCUCCACCUGCCACAUCAUGUCUCUCUUCAUCUGGGCCUCCAUCUGCAUCAUCAUGUCUCUCUCUACCUGUUCCUCCACCUGCACCAUCAUGUCUCUCUCCACCUGGGUUUAAUAUCAGAACAUAUUCAAAGCAGCUGAUAAUUAUUUAAAGUGUUACAGUUGGAGGAAGUCUGAGGCUCCAUUGUCACGGGUCUGGUCAAGAACAGUAUUUAAAAGGUCACCUCUCCCAGCUUCAAUAGGCUCUGACCAUCACAGGAAAGACUCAUCACUCUCACCUCUCAACUCAACGUCCACUUGUCUUUCUCUCCGGAGCAUUUCCCCUGGACUGCCAUGAUGAUGAGAAUGAAGCUGACCUUCCUUUUGGCCAUCUUACUUUUUCAACUGACAAUCUCUGUUAAAGGAGGGGCAUCUGCUUCUAAGCCAGCUCAACAGGCAGAUACACAGCAGAAUCCUCCUUCUGGCCGCCGGAAUUCUGCUCCUGCUGCCCUG